GCAAACUUGGUCAUUUAGAGGAAGUAAAAGUCGUAACAAGGUUUCCGUAGGUGAACCUGCGGAAGGAUCAUUACAGUGUCGGCACGGUGGCCUCCGGGCCACCAGCUACUGACCACCCUUGCCUACCUAACCACUGUUGCUUCGGCAGGCCGGUCACCCAGCUUCCUAACCGGAGCUUGGGUGCCCACCUGGGGCCCGGCUUAACAGCCGCCCGGGGCAGCGCCUGCCGGGGGAUUAGUUGAAACUCUUUGCUGAUUAGUGACAACUCUGAGUCCUUACUUAAUAGUUAAAACUUUCAACAACGGAUCUCUUGGUUCCAGCAUCGAUGAAGAACGCAGC
rnacentral:misc_RNA from 1 species